rnacentral:lncRNA from 1 species
GCGGGUUUUCACUAGUCUUACCGAGUUCUCCAGGGAGGAAGGACAGCUUGCUAUGGGAACAUGAACAAAGGCCCCCAAGUAAGGGGAAGAGAGGGCAGGGAGACUUGCAAAGAUCGCAGUGCCCACCUGUGUCCUUGCUGGGUUUCCACUUGGGAUGAGAAGUGGAGGAUCAGUGGAAAAGAAGAUACAGGCUUCGGGGUCGGAGGGAUCUGGCGCUGCUUUCCCUGCUCCGGAAUCCUGAACACACGAAUCAUCCGUUUGAGCCUGAGUCUUCUCUUAGAAUGGAGGGGCAGCGCUUCAGGCCACGGGCUGGACGGAGCAGACCUCUGAAGCCACGUAGCUUAGUGGCCGCACCCCCAGGCAUCCUGCUGUCUUCCUGUCACUUCACCUGGCAAGCGCCAUUCUGAGAGCUGCGACUGAGGUCACCCCCAAAGUGUAACCGCAGUUCCUGUUACCAUUCGAACAGCAGACAGCCGAAAGUAACACCUAGACCACACCAGGAUUUUUAAAAGUGUCCUGUGCUCAGACACUCUUCUCCAGACCCUGGAGAUGUGAGGGCUGAGACAAAUGCUAAUUCUGUUGUAAGUUUAAGAAUCUCCUGGACCUGGUGCCACCUAGGUGGAUCCUAGGGUUCCAACUCACAGCACCUUCCUCGGUAGGAUUGAGGAGGAUCCUGAAGUUUGCAUAACGAAGGAGUUUUGCAGGUGAUUGAAACGGAGAAGUGUUCGAACCCUGCCCACUUGCCCAAGGACAGUGAUAUGGACAAGGAUGAAAUUCAUUCUGGAACCUCCAGGGUCAAAACAGCGAUGAGUAAACAUUCCAGGGGGCAAAUUUCUGCUGAGUUAAACAAGUGUUUUCUAAGGAUUAAAGCUGUCCACGUGCAGAAUACACUGCCCAAGGGACAGUGAGCCCUGAAGCUCAGGGGGAAUUCAAGUUUGAGUGCCACUGGGAAUCUCAGAUCCGGAAGAUAACUCAUGUUCCUACCUGCUAUGUCACUGAAUUGCUUAUAAUGGGUUGCCUGUAAGUCUAGUGAUGUCACUCUUGCCGGUGUCUGUAACUCAUCUUGUUUCCCAAGUCUGUGAAAAUGAAGUGCUAAUGUACCCUAGAGGGGCUGUGAUCUUGGCAGGUGCUACCAUGGGAAGGGAGGAGCCACACCUGCCUGGAGAGAGGGCGAGGAGGGUGUAUUGGGCCGUGAGAAGAGAGGGAAGGGCUGCCGCAUAGAGGGGAGGGGAGUGAGCAAACUGGUUCUGCUGUGAGAAGAAAGAUUCACCAACAUUGUAGCAGAUGAGUUUGGCCAAAAAAUUUCGUCUUCCUCCAAAUGGAUGUCUGAUUUUCUUUGUCUUCUGAGCUGGGAAAAUCUGUGUGUCUCCUCAAGAUAAAGGUGGUUGUUAAAUAUAUUUUUCAUGAAACCACAGGUAUCUUUUUUCUUUUGUGACACUUUUGGCCAUUAUAAAUGUAUACGAGAUGUCCCCUUUUGAUUUUUCAAUUGUUAUUCUACAGAUUUUCAUGAUGAAUGCUGUUUUGGAUCAAGCAGUGGCACUAAUGUUCUUCCUUUCAAGAUUUCAAAAGAAUAUCUGAAAUCUGUGAGUCUAGAUUCAGUUUUUGUUUCAAGCAGCAGGCUAUUCGCACCAGGAGGAUAUUAGAUAUUCUUGUAGUUGAGGCAUCCAAGCGAUGCUUUGUUAAAAUCUUAGACUGGCCAAAUACUACAUCUUAAAAGGAGUUUUGUAAUCAGCUGCCCUUUAGAUCUUUGUUACACCACCUGUUAACCCUGCAAGUUCACGAGACACUGUGACUCAUUCUGGUUAUUUUUUAUUGUACCCUCUGUCUACUUCCUUGAUAGUCAUUAUUUACCUGAUAUUUAAUUUUUUUCCCUUUUAUCAACGUACAAACAAGUAGCAAAGAUAUCUCAAUAUGUAAGUGUUUUGAGUCUUUUAAAAACCUAGUUCCAAAUGAAACUCUGUAGAAG